rnacentral:rRNA from 1 species
UAGGGAAUCUUCCGCAAUGGACGCAAGUCUGACGGAGCAACGCCGCGUGAGUGAAGAAGGAUUUCGGUUCGUAAAACUCUGUUGUUAGAGAAGAACAGCGCAUAGAGUAACUGUUAUGCGUGUGACGGUAUCUAACCAGAAAGCCACGGCUAACUACGUGCCAGCAGCCGCGGUAAUACGUAGGUGGCAAGCGUUGUCCGGAUUUAUUGGGCGUAAAGCGAGCGCAGGCGGUCAAUUAAGUCUGAUGUGAAAGCCCCCGGCUCAACCGGGGAGGGUCAUUGGAAACUGGUUGACUGGAGUGCAGAAGAGGAGAGUGGAAUUCCAUGUGUAGCGGUGAAAUGCGUAGAUAUAUGGAGGAACACCAGUGGCGAAGGCGACUCUCUGGUCUGUAACUGACGCAGAGGCUCGAAAGCGUGGGUAGCAAACAGG